GAUUGGAGGCCUUUGUUUGCCGCUCAACUCCAGGAAACCACCCGCGCUCGGCGGCCGCCAGCAGUCCUGGAAGGUGGGAAUGAUCUGGAGACCAGGAGUAAGAAGACCUGAGUUUAGAUCCCCAGCCUGGAUUCAGUUCUGAGUGCCUCAGUUUUCCCUUCCACAAAAUGAGG
ensembl:lncRNA novel transcript